ensembl:snRNA U6 U6 spliceosomal RNA
GUGCUCGCUUUGGCAGCACAGAUGCUAAAAUUGGAAUGCUACAGAGAAGAUUAGCAUGGCCCCUGCACAAGGAUGACCCACAGAUUCGUGAAGCGUUCCAUAUUAAA